rnacentral:rRNA from 1 species
AUUGAACGCUGGCGGCAGGCUUAACACAUGCAAGUCGAGCGGGGGAAGGUAGCUUGCUACCGGACCUAGCGGCGGACGGGUGAGUAAUGCUUAGGAAUCUGCCUAUUAGUGGGGGACAACAUCUCGAAAGGGAUGCUAAUACCGCAUACGUCCUACGGGAGAAAGCAGGGGAUCUUUGGACCUUGCGCUAAUAGAUGAGCCUAAGUCGGAUUAGCUAGUUGGUGGGGUAAAGGCCUACCAAGGCGACGAUCUGUAGCGGGUCUGAGAGGAUGAUCCGCCACACUGGGACUGGAACACGGCCCAGACUCCUACGGGAGGCAGCAGUGGGGAAUAUUGGACAAUGGGGGGAACCCUGAUCCAGCCAUGCCGCGUGUGUGAAGAAGGCCUUAUGGUUGUAAAGCACUUUAAGCGAGGAGGAGGCUACUCUAGUUAAUACCUAGGGAUAGUGGACGUUACUCGCAGAAUAAGCACCGGCUAACUCUGUGCCAGCAGCCGCCGUAA